UACGGGGGGAGCAAGCGUUGUUCGGAUUUACUGGGCGUAAAGGGCGCGUAGGCGGUCGUGACAAGUCACUUGUGAAAUCUCCGGGCUUAACUCGGAACGGUCAAGUGAUACUGUCGGACUAGAGUACAGAAGGGGCAACUGGAAUUCUCGGUGUAGCGGUGAAAUGCGUAGAUAUCGGGAGGAACACCAGUGGCGAAGGCGGUUACCUGGGGUUGUUCUGACGCUGAGGAGCGAAAGCUAGGGGAGCAAACGGG
rnacentral:rRNA from 1 species